CAACGCGGGGCCUUCCCACCCCCACCACCUGGCUUCCCAACGUUAAAGCUGCAACUGGACAUCUCAGGGUUGGGAAACAGCAGAAGGUCGCUGGUGGGGUGGGGACUUUCUUCUCCCCGGGCUGGCUGUCUCCCAGCUGGAGGGCCAGCCAUCCCUGCCCCAGGACUGCCUGCCGCGUGCGGUUUCUGGCCUUGGCUGUGACCAGGGCGGUGGUGUCUGGUGUCUCGGGGGGCCCCGCACGGCUGGAGCAAACUGAGGACACGGUGGACGGGCGUCGGGCAUUCCUGGUACCUGGGACGCCGGGAUUUGCCUCAGCAGAAGACGGAAACCACGUGCCCCCAGUUGGGAGUGCAUUGGGGUGAAAUGGUCACGGGCAGCGAGCCUCGGCAGUGACACAGCCCACAUCCAUUUUGCUUGUCCUGGUUUCAUCUGGGAGCAGGGAAGCCACACAACUCUUCAGCUUCAGGAAGGGAAUCUUGGUCAGGCAACAUCACUCUUCAGUCAGGAGGUCUUGCCUGCUGGUGGCCCUCGGCCCAUCACUCCACUUCUCUCAGCCUUCAUUCCUCACUGUGAACACCCCGUGGGAACUGUGGCGACAUGAAAACCCUUUGGAAGGAUUAUAAGCAAGGCCAAAGUUACAUCGUGGCCUCGGAUCUCUUUUGGAAGUAGACGAUGUGUAAAUUAUUAAUAAAGGAGAUGCAAAAUGCUAUAUUAGACUUUCCAUGCCCAGAACCAUCUAGGUAGCGUGGUGAGUCUCCUGGGUCCUGAACCUGCCCCUUCGGAGCUCUGCUUCAUGAGAGUUGCCAGAGCUUUUACUUUCCCAGGAAAGAUCCUGCCUUCAGACUCCCUGGACUGGAUGGGGACAGAGCAUUUACCUUGCCAAGCCAUGAGGAGGAGGAGCUGUCCUUCUAUGGGGUUGCUAAGCCAGCAGGAUGUACAUUUCUAGCUUCCCUCAUAAUGGGAGGCUCGCCUGUGUUAAUGCCAAGAUGGAGACAUGAAGAGGGAGACCCUGGAUCGUGCUGUGCCUGAAGCCAUCUACUCAAACAUCUCAGUUAUCCCACCAGCACUCCUCUCCCCUUUUUUCUUACAGAAGCUGGUUUUCAGCUGAAAGCAUCUUGACCUCUCCACGUACUGUUAUGGAGUAAGAAACAUGUGGACCUGCUCAUUUGUCCACUCACAGGCUACCACUGUGCCAGGCCCUGGGAUGAUGCUUGGGGCACAGGAUGACCUGCAUCCUCAAUUAGGGCCUCAGUCAACUGAGGGGGCAGACGUGAGGCAAAUCCACGCUGCCUUGUGCUGAGUAUCGGUGCGGAGAGCAACUGACUGAAGGAGGGCUUCCCAGAGGAGGGGACAUGUGCCUUGAACUCGAGGGAAGGAUGGGGCUUUGCUAGAGAGAGAAGAGGCCAUGUGGGCACAGGCCAAGCAGCUGACAGAACACGGAGUGUGUGAAGAAACCACAAGCGAGGAGCUGGCAGCCGGCGUUCCCUGUGCCGGAGAGGGUGGGAAUGGUGGGAAGACAGCUGUGGCCCCCACCCCGGCUCCUGCAGGGGCCCCAGGGCCAGCCCUCUGACUCCGUCCCCGCCUGGAGUGUUGGCAAGAAGAGACCGAAGGGAAACGGGGUGACACGCAUGGCUGAGAGCAGUGGGGAGGGAGGGGAUAAAACCAUUCCCUUUCCAGCUCUGAAGCGCAAAGAAGUGUCUUUCCUCCUGCACAGCUGGACUUCCUGUAGCUGGAAAGAAGUAGAUUAAUGCCAUGUUUUCUGAUGCCCCCCCUGGGCCGAGCAGGGCCCGAGAGGCCGGCGCGCUCACAGUUGGCCUGGCCGCCCUUGAUAGCUCAGUGACUGUCCCGCUGGCCCGGCCCUGGGCCCCCGGCUCCAAAGCCAGGCUGGAGAAACUUGGCUCCAUGGCAGCUUUCAAAAUAAAGUGGUUUUUAUUUCAUAUUCACCAGAGAGGUUACAAAAUAUAAUUGGGGUUGCUGCUUCUCAUAUUAUUUAUGCAAUUCUCCCCUGUGUCCCUGCCCAAAAGCAACUCACAAAAGGGUCUUUGUUCUCCGCAAGUUCAAAGUCAGCUGCUCCAACGGGAAACGGAUUGGCGAUUACAAGGAGGAGGCUGAGUUUUACUGGCUGUCAGACCAGGAAUAUGGGAUGCGUCGGGGUUCCAGCAGGAGCCCAUGAGUGUGCGGUUUGCCGGCUGCAGAGGCCUGUGUGAACGGGUUCCCAGUGCGAGAUGAGGGCCAGCAGCAGGAGGGGGCGGUGGGGGAAAGCCCGCUUUCGCCCCUGUGGGCUGGGCCGCCUCGCCACGCACCCUGCCUCCACGGCCCCGAGUUCCCCACCCACAGAACAGGGUGCCAGCACACUAGGCUGCAUCAGAAGGUUUGUUCCAUUCCUCGGAGCUCUGGGGCUCUGCUGAGGGUCUCCGAACUGGGUGGGCAGGGCUCCAGGCAUCCACGCCCACUCCUGCCCUUCAGAUGUUUUGACUGAUUGAACGAACAUCCAGGUCAGAUUUUAUUUAAAGAAAAUGUAUUUUCAGUGGACAUUUGCAGAGGGCUGACCUGGAGUCAGGGAGGCCUGGGAAGUGCUGGGCCCUGGAGACUGUGGGGUCGGAGGCUCAAAGUCCCGGGUCCUGUGUAGCCUUGAGCAGAGCGGCUAGCCUUUCUGGGCCUCAUCUGUCCUUCUGGGAAGUGGAGUCACAGCUGCCCGACAGGAGCUGAGUGCAGGGCUGGGGGACUGUGGUGCUUGGAGGUGCAGAGGUUUCAGACUUCCCCUGCCCUGGGGCACCUGCUGCUUGGUCGAGCCAGCCUUCCACGGGUUGGAGAGCUUGCCUGUAGCACCUGGCAUCCCUUGUCUAGCACACGCCCAUCACCAAGGUGUGCCCUCACUGAGAGCAGGAGUGGCAGGGGCUCAGUACUGUCGGCCCCAAGCUGUGACUCUGGCGCUAACCCACAGGGGGCGAUCCAGCUCAGAGCAUCCUGCCGUGGGGGGCUUGCUCCCAGCAUCCUGGAGGAAACACUGAGCAGGUGGCACCUCCAGAACCUCCGUUAAGGGCGCCUCACCUCACCAUGGUGGUCCCAGGGUGGGGGAACCCAUGAGGACCUCAGUUGCCAGCCUUAUUGGGGCCCCAGGACACAGCAGACCCAUAGGGGCCCUCCGGGAGGAUGUCCUGGCUUCCCUGGACAUAAAGCUGUCCCAGGACCUACGCCUCAUUGAGGGGCCUCAAGGCCGAGGCCCUGGGCCUGGCCUCUCCUCCCCGCCACAGUGGAGCCCCUGCAGGCCUGACCAUCAGACCCCGGGGCCCACCAUCUCCCAGUUUUCAUUCUAGCAACAAGACAGCCCAGGAGUUUGGGGGUGGGGCAGGGAUGUGUCCCAGUUGGCUGUCCUCGCCAUGGGGCUCUUCUCCAUCCCUCGGGGCGGGAGGGGGCUGUUGGAGUGAGAGGGAAGGAGUCCUGCCCUCCCCUUUGCAAGGAGCCAGAGCUUCACUUGGGAGGCCUGCGAUGUUUAUGCAGUUCCAGGGCCACACUGGGCCAGGGCAGGGAACUGAGGACGGGAGUGGGAGGGGCUUUAGGAAAACCAGACCUACCACCUUCCCUCUGGCCCUCCCAAGAGAUGCAGCUCUCCCUAGUGAGAUGCUCUGGGAGUAGGGAGAGGGACAUGGAGGGGAGGAGAGCUGGCUUCAUGUGUGAGCUUCAUGAAAGCCAGACGGAGAUGGAGAGUCUUGGAGGUCCUCUCCGCCAGGAUUCCAGAUCUUUCCAGAGUGAUCUCAGGGCUUUGCAAAGCAGAAACCAGGCCCAGAUGGAAGCCCACAGGGAGACCUCACCCAGGGCUGUCGGCUCUUCAGAAAUGUCCCUUCCUGUGGCUGCAAGACUGUGGGUGAAUCCUGGGGUCCGGGCUUGGCUGCUGUGAGCCGCUGCCUCCCGGCUGAUAAACAUCGGCCCAGGGAGCUGAGACACCGAGGCCCUGGAGAAGACCAGUGCAGGUGAGAGGUGCUCUGCUAAAACCACAGCUUGGGGGUGGCGUCUCCACUCACACCCCGUACGGGAAAGCAGCUAUUUCUACAAUAACGGCUUCCACAUCGAUGGAAGGACCACCAGCAGGGCUGCAGGUAAUCUCUGCGAUCACGGGUCCUGUCCUCCCAGACACUAGGCACUGUGGGAGGGGGAGGCUCGGCCAGGCCCACCUGGGGUGCCCUGGUCCACCACGGAGGACGGACCGUGAUUCUCCCCAUUUUACACUCAGGGAAACCAAGGUUCACAAAGCCAGGAGGGGUAAGGUUGGGGCUGCGGGUCAUGCCGGAGUCUGCUGGCUCCAAUCCGGGUGCUCUUUACUGUGUGAUAACGGAGCAGGGAAGGACGCCCAUGUUCACACUGCAUGGUAGGGAGCAUGCUCUACACCAUGUCUGGACAGUGGGUAUCAUUUUACGGAUAAGAAACUGAGGAUCAGAGAGGUUAAGUAACUUGUGCCGAGUGAGCUAAGAUUGAAACUCCGGCCUACCUGACCCCGAAGGUCUCACCCACCCUGCCCCGCAGGGCUCUGCUGCCUUUGCGCGCUGCCUCCCUAGAGCUCGCCUUGGCCGUCCGUAAAGCUUCCCUGGGGAGCUAGGAAAAGGGCCCUUGUCUGGACUCCAGCCCCAGAGCUUCUAACCCGGCUGGCUGGGGUGCAGCCUGGGGGUCAGGGGUUGUCAGAGCUCCCCAGGGCCUUCCACGGGGUGGGGCUCACAGCUUGAAAGGGAGUGCCAUCCGCUGGGAAGGCCCAGGUGGGUCCCGGGCAUCCUGUCUCCCAUCCAGCACCCCCUACCCAGGAGAGCGGAGGGGGUGGGGGGCUGGGCUUGGCCCCGGCCCUGCACGCCAUGAAGGAGCUGGGUCUGGCUUGACUAAGUCUUGGCCUCUUUAAACAACCCCCCUUGAUUUGAGGCGCCUUCUCAGAGUGAAAUCCCCUUUUUUGGUAAACACACGGGGCUUACUUCACCUCCUCUGGCCUCCUGACCACCCGGGCAGACGUCAAAUGGCCUAGCUCAUUUAUUGUCAGUCUCCUCACCGAGACAGAUCCCCAUGGCAGAAGGACCUUGGCUCUUGCGUCCAUCAUGGUGUCCCUUGUCUAGCGCAGUGGCCUGGCCCACGGAAGGUAUGUGAUCCAAGCGUGUGGAACAAAUGAAUGAACAACGGGAGGGGGUCCCACCCAUCAGGGUGUGGAUGUCCUGUCUGGCUUGAGGCUGAAAAGUCAAGACCCCCGGUGACUAAGCCAGUCCUCGAGAGCCCUUGGCCCAGCGGGCUGAACAGGAAACCACUGGAAGGCAAGCCCUCCCUCAGGAGAGCGGGGUCUCUGCCUCCACCCCAGGGGCCCUCUCCUGGUCACCCUGGAACCAGCCCAGCCGAAGGGCCAGGCCCUCUGAGAGCCUGGGGCCCUGCCUGGGAUGCGAAGGAGCUGGCAGACCCCGGACAAGCUCCAAGUCAGCUUGGGCUGGGCCCCAGGGGUCUGGGGAGCCUUGCCUACCCCUGUACCCUAAAACUACCCCAGGCUGGUUCCCAGAAGGGCCGGGUAUGGGGUCCACUCCAUUCAGAGUGGGUAGUCUGACCCCCAAAUGAGCUGCGGGCCAGCAAUGGGUGACCACGGCUCUCUUGACCAUGGCCUCAGUCAGGUGGGCUCACCAGGGCCUAAAUUCACUCCCCGUCCCCCUCACUCUCCCCAGCAGGUGCAGGGCUGGUUGGUGAAGAGGCUCACCCUCUCCUCCGUCCUCAGCCCCAACGCUCCCCAAACCUGUGCAUUAGAGCUGUGCUGGAGUUCUUCACGUCUCUACCAGGCCAGGUGGUCACUGCUAAACUCGCCUUGGAGAGAGGAAGCCUGGAUUAUCUGUCAGGUCCAGGGGGACGAUGCUCCAUUGGGCCCCCAGCUUCAUGGGGCUGCUACCUUGGUCUGGAGACCCUCCGUGUGUGAGGAGUUUGCACCCUUCAGAGUUUCAGCUGGAAAGUGGAUCUAUCGUCUUGGUGCUUCAGAGGAAACUUCUACAAUAUUCAGAUGGACGGGGCUCUCAGCCCCUCGACCACAAGGCUGUUCCAGCCUGAGCAGGUCAGUUCUGGGCAGUCUGGGAGCGGGAGGAGGGGUCCGCAGAACUCUUCCUGUCCCCGCUUUCUGCCUUCGCUUCUCAGGGGUACCCUGCCCUGGAAUGAAUGAGCUCCGCAAAUACUCAUCUCUGGGCAGCUGCCAAGUCUGGCCCCACUCCAGAGGACCGAGUGCUUGCAUCUGUCCCACUUCCCUUGGCAUGAAGGCCCCUGGCUGUCAGGGUGGGGCAGAGCUCCAGAGCCAGCCUUGGUGCUGGGACCCGGCCGAGCGAGGAGCUGCGGUGCCCAGGCCACAUGGCGUUCCCUGGUGAGGAGACGAUGUGAUGGCCACCAACACCCUUGGAACCCGUGUCGGCCCCAGUGCGAGUCAAGUGGACCCCUGCUGUCCUCCCGAGAAGUGUGACCAUUUAGUCUGAGGGGAGGGACAGUGGCAUCCUGAACCCCCACAGUGGCUGAGAAGGCUUCCAGCUGCCCAGCUGCCCUCUCUGCCCAGGAGGAGACGCUAUGCCAAGGCCCAGCUGUGGGAGAGUCUGCGUUUCCCGUGCCAUCCACUUGGAAAGGGCCUUCGUGCAGUCAGGGACUGGUGUGAUGGGGAGAAGGAGCCCAGUUUUCUUCUUGGGCGUUCCAGCCAAAUCAGGCUUGUUGAAGCCCUUCCCUGACUGCCAAGAGGGAGACCACUGCCUCCAGCCGGGAGUGCAGGAUGCCCAUUCUCACGUGGAUUCUCGUCCAUUGGAAUCUGGAGACAGGCCUGGACUUGGAGCCUUCUGCUCGUUGUCUGACCACAGGCAAGCCACUCCACCUCUCUGAGCUUUGGUCUUCUCGUUUGCACAAUAGGCAACUGGAAGUGAAAGUAUGGUGAGUAGUUUCUAGACACCGGGCACUGCGUCAGGGGCUCUCGCACUUGUGUUCGUCAUAAGCUCCGUGGCUGCCACAUAGGUGGUGACUAUGCCGGGGACCACUGUCUGGCCCCAGAGGUGACUUAUUCUCUUUAUUCUGCUGCGAAACCCUCAGCCCCUCAACUGCAGAGAUUGCUCCUUCCAUUCUUGGCGCUCAGCCCUGUGACUCCCACAUGGAAGGUUCUUGACUAGAUGUUGCAUGGAUGCAUACUAAGUGGGAGGGAGCUCACUUCUGGCUUUCACACAUCAAAUUAAAUUUUCAUGAACUCAUGAAUCAACAAGAGAAACUAAGCAGCAUUUUACUGAACACCUACUAUGUCUGAUGAUUUACAUGGGUUUUCUUAUUUAGUCUUCACAGUAAUCCUGUGAAGUACUCUCUCUUCCGUUUUGCAAGUUAGGAAAUUGUGGAAGCUCACGCCUUGUCAAGAUUAGUCAACAUGUAAGAGGGAGGAGCAGGAUUUGAAUUGGAGUCUGAUCCCUCGGACUGUGCUCUUUGCAUUCCACCAGGCUGCCAACAGGGAGACGCCUGCUAGACCGUGGUUGUUACAAAGCAGAAUCGUGGUCUAGCAGGGGGAAUAAUGCAUCCCAACCAGCGUCAGAAGGAGGCGCCAGCAGAAGGCCCGCUGCUCCCACGGGCUAAGGGGAUGAAUGACGGAGGCCAGGACCUUCCCAGGGCGUGCCUGCAGGCUUCUCCACCUAGACUGUCGUGGCCCAACCUCAGGCCAGCCCAGGCAACAGCGAGGCAAGGCCCGGCCUGGGUCUGCCGCCUCUCAGCCCAUUGGCCCUGUGGAUGCUGCGUUGCAAAACCACACUGUUUUGUUCUGACUUCCUCUUGGGUUCCCAGGAAGUUUAUUUACAGAAGUAAAAUUGCCUCGUAACGUAAAAAAAUAUUUUUUUUGCUGUGGUAAAAUAUACACAACACAAAAUUUACCAUUUUAACCACUUAAUGUAAAAAUGUACAACUGCAUGGUGUUAGUUCACAAUGUGCACAUUCCAGAUGUUGCAUAGCCAUCACCGCCAUUUGUCCCCAGAACUCCCUAACGGAAGCUCUGUACCUAUUAAACACUAAUUCCCCCCCUCCCUCUAGACUCUGCUGAUCUCUUGUCCGUGUUUUGUCUCUAUGAAUUUGCCUACUCUAGGUAUGUGUGUAAGGGAGUCAUACAGCAUUUGUCCUUUUGUGACUGGCUAAUUUCACUUAGUAUAAAGUCUUCAGGGUUCAUCCGCGGUGUAGCAUGUCUCAAAAAGUGUUUCUUUUUUAAGGCUGAAUAAUAUUUCAUUCUGUAUAUAUAUCGCAUUUUGUGUAUCUAUUCCACUGUUGAUGGGCACUUGGGUUGUUUCCAUCUUUUCACUGCAGUCACGCAUCACUUAGUGACCAGGAUACGUUCUGAGAAUGUGUCGUUAGGUGAUUUCCUGGUUGA